GCGUAAUUUAGUCCAUUUUAUAUUAAUAUUAUUGAUAAAUAUUUACAUGAUUUCUGCUUAAUUUAUUGCUUUUAAUAUUAUUUUGCAGAAAAUGGUGUAAAAGGAUAAUUUGGAGAAAAUCCCCUUAAAACUGACUUGUUUGGAGCAAAAGAGAGCAACCCUACCAAGUUGGAUUCAAAUCAAGCUAAAUGAGAAGAAAAUAUUUUGAAGUGUGAAUGUUGAAGCAAUUGGACGGCCCAUUUCCGCAAGCUCAAAUCAAAGCCCAUUCACUAAUACAUGGGCAGCGCAUUUCCUCAGCUCCAGCCCACGGAUGGGCCCUGCCGCUUCAACGCUCCCAUUCGCAUCGUGGACAACCCAUUCACCAGCUCAUGGCCGCAACUCCACCUUGCCUUCACGUGGACCAGUCCACGCACAAUCAACCGCACAUGCACACGUGGACCAAGGCGCUUCAAUUCCCACGCCAAAGCAAAUUCAACGCCAAACUCAAUUCACGCCCACGAUCUCUUCAUGCACAACUUGGGCCCGCACUCUGCACAUGGACCGUAGGACCCGCACGUUCAUCAAUUCAUGCACGUGGAUCCGCACAUUCCAACUUCACUCACAGUGGACCAACACUCACGCCAACUCCUGCACCUUUGCAUGGACCAGGCACGUGGACCGAGCCCCUCAAUUCAUCUCAUCAAUUCACGCAACGGGCCCGCUCUUACACAUCCACCUUCAAAUGGCCCAGAGCGCCUCACGUGGACAGCAAUGAAGGAACCUAGGGCGCACAUCUCCUCUUCUCUAUUUAAAGAACUUCCAGUGGCCGAACGAAAGAAUUUUCACAAUUCAAUUUUCUUCAAUUCGGCAGUGUCGGCGCAAGGCAGAUUCUGCCUCCAUCCUUCGGUUCCUUCUUCCUCUUUUAUUUUCCUUUUAUUAUUUGAUUUUUAAUCAGCCAAUGAGUGGCUGAUUUCUUUAAUUCUAGUUGAGGAUUGGUUGAAACUAAGGUUAUUUAAAUGGGUUGUGAGAUCUGAACAUAAAUUAUUGUCUUUGAUUUUGUUCAAUAUUUAUGCAAUUGAUGCUUUAAUUACAUGAUUACUUUGUUGUUUUGAUCAAACUGGCCACUUGAUUUUAAUUGCAAAGUUAAUUAAUUGUUAGUUGGGAUUAUUUUUAGUCCGUAAUUGCUGGAAAUAUUCUGACCUUAGAACACUUGGGAUAAAACCCAAGGGAAUUGCAUGAUCUAGCGUUAUCUCCAUACGUUUGGGUAGUUAGGAUUGGAUCUUUCUAUUUCUUUAUGCAAUUGACAAUUGUUUGAUGCCUAGGGCCCAAGGACGUUCCUUGGCAAUUUGUUAAUUAGUAAUUAAUUAGAGGACGUUCCCUAAUUAAUUUAAUCAUAAGUAGAGACAUGGUGGUGAGAAGCGUCUUCCACCCCCAUAACUAAUCUAUUGAACCAAUCAAGAUAAUUUAAGUUUCAAUGAUCAACCCAAACAACCAAAGUGGAUCCAUAUCUUCAACUAGGCUUUUCUCAUAUUGAUUUACUCUUUUAUUUUAAUUAUUUGCUUUCUAUUAUUACUCUCAUUAUUAGUUACUACAAUCAAUCUCAAACCCCCCCAUUUUACUUUUACUGCAAUUUAUUUUUAUUCUGUUUCCAGUUUAUCUCAUUUGAUCCCACUUUCAGUCUUUUAUCUCAUCAUUAAUUUAUUAUUGUUUCAGUUCAUUUUAUUGGUCUUGUUGAGAAAAAUAAAUAGGUAAUCAAUUCUCUGUGGAUUCGAUCCUUUCACCACUAUCUGCAGUUGUAAAUUGUUGAUAACCAGAAAGGUUAUUUUUGACCGGCCUCGACAACCGCGAGUCAAACAUCUAUGAGCCCGACACUCUAGGUCCGAUCCUAUGAACCUAGGGCUCUGAUACCAUUCUGUAACGACCCGAAAAUCGGACCGCUACCGGC
rnacentral:lncRNA from 1 species